rnacentral:rRNA from 1 species
UACGUAGGGGGCAAGCGUUGUCCGGAUUUAUUGGGCGUAAAGCGCACGCAGGCGGUCUGCCAAGUCCGAAGUGACAGUCAUUGGCUUAACCAAUGAAGGCCUUCGGAAACUGACAGACUUGAGAGCAAUAGAGGGACACGGAAUUCCGGGUGGAGUGGUGAAAUGCGUAGAUAUCCGGAGGAACACCAAAGGCGAAGGCAGUGUCCUGGAUUGUUUCUGACGCUCAGGUGCGAAAGCUAGGGGAGCGAACGGGAUUAGAUACCCCGGUAGUCCUAGCCGUAAACGAUGACCACUAGACGUCUGAGGUAUCGACCCCUUAGGUGUCGAAGCAAACGCGAUAAGUGGUCCGCCUGGGGAGUACGGUCGCAAGAUUAAA